rnacentral:rRNA from 1 species
GAUGAACGCUGGCGGCGUGCCUAAUACAUGCAAGUCGAGCGAACGGACGAGAAGCUUGCGUCUCUGAUGUUAGCGGCGGACGGGUGAGUAACACGUGGAUAACCUACCUAUAAGACUGGGAUAACUUCGGGAAACCGGAGCUAAUACCGGAUAAUAUUUUGAACCGCAUGGUGCAAAAGUGAAAGACGGUCUUGCUGUCACUUAUAGAUGGUUCCGCGCUGCAUUAGCUAGUUGGUAAGGUAACGGCUUACCAAGGCAACGAUGCAUAGCCGAUCUGAGAGGGUGAUCGGCCACACUGGAACUGAGACACGGUCCAGACUCCUACGGGAGGCAGCAGUAGGGAAUCUUCCGCAAUGGGCGAAAGCCUGACGCAGCAACGCCGCGUGAGUGAUGAAGGUCUUCGGAUCGUAAAACUCUGUUAUUAGGGAAGAACAUAUGUGGAAUUAACUGUGCACAUCUUGACGGUACCUAAUCAGAAAGCCCCGGCUAACUACGUG